GCCGAUCUGCUGAGUGUCCCAGAAAUGCCUAAACAACAAUGGAGAUGAAAUGGUCUGCAGCAAUGGGGAGUGUGUUGAUCUGAAUAUAGCCUACUAAUCAACCUCUGGCUUCUCUCAGAUUUGAUUUUGGAGAUCCUUCUUCCAGAAGGUUUCACUUCCCUCAAGUCCAAAAACCCAUCUGCCUGCAUCCUACUAGUAAAUCACUCUUAGCUUUCAUAUGGAAUCUAAAUUAUGCAAUAUUUCUUUUCCAUAUUUAAUCUGUUUACCUCUUGCUGU